rnacentral:lncRNA from 1 species
UAUCGAUCCUAUACUAAGGUUUCGUUUGGAAUUGCGGGCAGAUUGCGUUACGUGCGGUAGAAACGACGAUGAAAAAAUAUCCUGUUUGUUUGCGUACGUAAUAUUGCGUUCCACAUAUUACGGUUAAUCGGUUACGAUAUAUUUUCUGCGGUCCCAUCGGAGAACGCAGAAGUAUAUCCCUAUAUGCUUUUUCUCAACUCCAUUCUAUCUAAUAGCGUUAGAUUGCCCUCAAUACCAAACUAAGCCUAAGGGAAUCCUAUCUUGCUGCUCUCUUCCUGGCCUUCUGCCGCUCCAACCUUU